rnacentral:rRNA from 1 species
CGGGGUGCACCAGGCGCGAAAACUUUACAAUGCGGGAAACCGUGAUAAGGGGACACCGAGUGCCAGCAUCAUAUGCUGGCUGUCCGGGUGUGUAAAAUACACCCGUUAGCAAGGGCCGGGCAAGACCGGUGCCAGCCGCCGCGGUAACACCGGCGGCCCGAGUGGUGAUCGUGAUUAUUGGGUCUAAAGGGUCCGUAGCCGGUUUGGUCAGUCCUCCGGGAAAUCUGACGGCUCAACCGUUAGGCUUUCGGGGGAUACUGCCAGGCUUGGAACCGGGAGAGGUAAGAGGUACUACAGGGGUAGGAGUGAAAUCUUGUAAUCCCUGUGAGACCACCUGUGGCGAAGGCGUCUUACCAGAACGGGUUCGACGGUGAGGGACGAAAGCUGGGGGCACGAACCGGAUUAGAUACCCGGGUAGUCCCAGCCGUAAACGAUGCUCGCUAGGUGUCAGGCAUGGCGCGACCGUGUCUGGUGCCGCAGGGAAGCCGUGAAGCGAGCCACCUGGGAAGUACGGCCGCAAGGCUGAAACUUAAAGGAAUUGGCGGGGGA